GAUGAACGCUAGCGGCAGGCUUAACACAUGCAAGUCGAGGGGCAGCACGAGUAGCAAUACUUGGUGGCGACCGGCAAACGGGUGCGGAACACGUACGCAAUCUACCUUUAUCUGGGGCAUAGCCCGAAGAAAUUCGGAUUAAUUCCCCAUAAUAUGAUUAAGUGGCAUCACUUGGUUAUUAAAACUCCGGUGGAUAGAGAUGAGCGUGCGUCCCAUUAGCUAGNGGUAGGGUAACGGCCUACCAAGGCGACGAUGGGUAGCUGGUGUGAGAGCACGACCAGCCACACGGGCACUGAGACACGGGCCCGACUCCUACGGGAGGCAGCAGUGAGGAAUAUUGGUCAAUGGACGCAAGUCU
rnacentral:rRNA from 1 species